UACGAAGGGGGCUAGCGUUGUUCGGAAUUACUGGGAGUAAAGCGCACGUAGGCGGAUUCUUAAGUCUGGGGUGAAAGCCCGGAGCUCAACUCCGGAACUGCCUUGGAUACUGGGAGUCUCGAGGAUGGAAGAGGUCAGUGGAAUGCCGAGUGUAGAGGUGAAAUUCGUAGAUAUUCGGCGGAACACCAGUGGCGAAGGCGACUGGCUGGUCCAUUUCUGACGCUGAGGUGCGAAAGUGUGGGGAGCAAACAGG
rnacentral:rRNA from 1 species